CGAACGGUAACAGGUCUUCGGAUGCUGACGAGUGGCGAACGGGUGAGUAAUACAUCGGAACGUGCCCGAGAGUGGGGGAUAACGAAGCGAAAGCUUUGCUAAUACCGCAUACGAUCUCAGGAUGAAAGCAGGGGACCGCAAGGCCUUGCGCUCACGGAGCGGCCGAUGGCAGAUUAGGUAGUUGGUGGGAUAAAAGCUUACCAAGCCGACGAUCUGUAGCUGGUCUGAGAGGACGACCAGCCACACUGGGACUGAGACACGGCCCAGACUCCUACGGGAGGCAGCAGUGGGGAAUUUUGGACAAUGGGCGCAAGCCUGAUCCAGCCAUGCCGCGUGCAGGAUGAAGGCCUUCGGGUUGUAAACUGCUUUUGUACGGAACGAAAAGACUCUGGUUAAUACCUGGGGUCCAUGACGGUACCGUAAGAAUAAGCACCGGCUAACUACGUGCCAGCAGCCGCGGUAAUACGUAGGGUGCGAGCGUUAAUCGGAAUUACUGGGCGUAAAGCGUGCGCAGGCGGUUAUGUAAGACAGAUGUGAAAUCCCCGGGCUCAACCUGGGAACUGCAUUUGUGACUGCAUAGCUAGAGUACGGCAGAGGGGGAUGGAAUUCCGCGUGUAGCAGUGAAAUGCGUAGAUAUGCGGAGGAACACCGAUGGCGAAGGCAAUCCCCUGGGCCUGUACUGACGCUCAUGCA
rnacentral:rRNA from 1 species